CCUCCCUCUGCUCCGACGACUCAACGCCACCACCGCCGCCAUCGUCAUCGUUUGCUCCACGACGACCAGCCGCACCCUUCACCGUCGACGGCCGGAAUCCGAUCGCCCCGUCGCCGUGAACCAUCGCCGGAGACAGCGCCCCGUGCUCCUGCGCCCCCCGGGGAGACGGCCUCGAGCCGUAGGAGCUCUGCACAAGGCCACACGCGAAGAGCAGCAGCAGCAGCGGGAGGCAAGCGCGCGAGCACCGUGCCAUUUUCGUCACAGUUUCGGCGAAGGCACUACGACUACGUAGCGUAGCCAGGUGUUGGCGGUGAGCUUUCUUUCGACGAUGGCUGUGACUUGUGAGCACUGGCUCUUUUACCAAG
rnacentral:lncRNA from 1 species